AUUUUGGCUUUUGAGUCAUUCAGAUCUGGGUCCAGAUAUUAGCUCUUAUAUUUUCACUGUGUGCCCUUGGACACUUUGUCUAACCUCUCUGAUGGUUUUCUCAUCUAUAAAAUGGAACUAAGAAAAUCCUUAUUUAGGACUGGAGAAAAUACAUAUGUAAAGCAUCUAAUGUCUGUUACAGUGGUAACAUGCAAGUUUUUAUGUCUAGGCUAAAUUGAGUUUGUUAUAAACUGAGGACUAUACGUGUAUCUCCCAUUUACCUCUGUUGUCAGUUUACAUUAUUUCUUUUCUAGCCUAAGGCUGUAAAUAUUUUCCCUAGGCCAAAAUCUGACCUGCUGGUUUUAACCAUUAAGCUGAAACCAAGAUACUCAUUGUCACAUGAACCAUUUUGAUUAAUAACAUUCCUUUGUCCUUUCUUUUGACCCUAGACAUCUUCCUGCUUUGUAUGAAAAUAAUUGCAUAAUUUGUUAUGUUAAAGCAAUAUAGGAAGCAGUCGCCCCAGACUUUAAUUUUAGCCUCACUAGUAAGGAAAGGCUCAAAAUCAUUUCCCUGACUGCUUUAUAACCAAGGAAAAUUAUAAUGCCAAACAAAUAGAGUUGGAGAAUAUGU
rnacentral:lncRNA from 1 species